rnacentral:rRNA from 1 species
GUACGGGAGGCAGCAGGAGGGAGUAUUGGUAAUCUGGGAAACCGGGAACCAGCAACGCCGCGUGAGCGAUGAAGGCCUUCGGGUUGUAAAGCUCUUUUGGUCGGGACGAGGAAGGACGGUACCGGCCGAAUAAGCCUCGGCUAACUACGUGCCAGCAGCCGCGGUAAAACGUAGGAGGCGAGCGUUAUCCGGAUUUACUGGGUGUAAAGCGCAUGCAGGCGGUACAUUAAGUUGGGUGUGAAAGCUCCUGGCUCAACUGGGAGAGGUCGCUCAAGACUGAUGAACUGGAGCGUGGUAAGGGAAGGUGGAAUUCCGGGUGUAGUGGUGAAAUGCGUAGAUAUCCGGAGGAACACCAGUGGCGAAGGCGGCCUUCUGGACCACGACUGACGCUCAGAUGCGAAAGCUAGGGAAGCAAACGGGAUUAGAUACCCCGGUAGU